rnacentral:tRNA from 1 species
CCGAGAUAGCUCAGUCGGUAGAGCACUUGACUGAAAAUCAAGGUGUCGCCGGUUCGAUUCCGGCUCUUUGGA